rnacentral:rRNA from 1 species
GUCCAGACUCCUACGGGAGGCAGCAGUGGGGAAUAUUGCACAAUGGGGGAAACCCUGAUGCAGCGACGCCGCGUGAGCGAUGAAGUAUUUCGGUAUGUAAAGCUCUAUCAGCAGGGAAGAAAAUGACGGUACCUGACUAAGAAGCCCCGGCUAACUACGUGCCAGCAGCCGCGGUAAUACGUAGGGGACAAGCGUUAUCCGGAUUUACUGGGUGUAAAGGGAGCGUAGACGGCUGUGCAAGCCAGAUGUGAAAGCCCGGGGCUCAACCCCGGGACUGCAUUUGGAACUGUGUGGCUGGAGUGUCGGAGAGGCAGGCGGAAUUCCUAGUGUAGCGGUGAAAUGCGUAGAUAUUAGGAGGAACACCAGUGGCGAAGGCGGCCUGCUGGACGAUGACUGACGUUGAGGCUCGAAAGCGUGGGGAGCAAACAGGAUUAGAUACCCCGGUA